UAAGUAUAAGCAACUAUACGGUGAAACUGCGAAUGGCUCAUUAAAUCAGUUAUCGUUUAUUUGAUAGUACCUUACUACAUGGAUAACCGUGGUAAUUCUAGAGCUAAUACAUGCUAAAAACCUCGACUUCGGAAGGGGUGUAUUUAUUAGAUAAAAAACCAAUGCCCUUCGGGGCUCCUUGGUGAAUCAUAAUAACUUAACGAAUCGCAUGGCCUUGCGCCGGCGAUGGUUCAUUCAAAUUUCUGCCCUAUCAACUUUCGAUGGUAGGAUAGUGGCCUACCAUGGUAUCAACGGGUAACGGGGAAUUAGGGUUCGACUCCGGAGAGGGAGCCUGAGAAACGGCUACCACAUCCAAGGAAGGCAGCAGGCGCGCAAAUUACCCAAUCCCGACACGGGGAGGUAGUGACAAUAAAUACUGAUACAGGGCUCUUUUGGGUCUUGUAAUUGGAAUGAGUACAAUUUAAAUCCCUUAACGAGGAACAAUUGGAGGGCAAGUCUGGUGCCAGCAGCCGCGGUAAUUCCAGCUCCAAUAGCGUAUAUUAAAGUUGUUGCAGUUAAAAAGCUCGUAGUUGAACCUUGGGCCUGGCUGGCCGGUCCGCCUCACCGCGUGUACUGGUCCGGCCGGGCCUUUCCUUCUGGGGAACCUCAUGCCCUUCACUGGGCGUGUUGGGGAACCAGGACUUUUACUUUGAAAAAAUUAGAGUGUUCAAAGCAGGCCUUUGCUCGAAUACAUUAGCAUGGAAUAAUAGAAUAGGACGUGUGGUUCUAUUUUGUUGGUUUCUAGGACCGCCGUAAUGAUUAAUAGGGAUAGUCGGGGGCAUCAGUAUUCAAUCGUCAGAGGUGAAAUUCUUGGAUUGAUUGAAGACUAACUACUGCGAAAGCAUUUGCCAAGGAUGUUUUCAUUAAUCAGUGAACGAAAGUUAGGGGAUCGAAGACGAUCAGAUACCGUCGUAGUCUUAACCAUAAACUAUGCCGACUAGGGAUCGGACGGUGUUAGUAUUUUGACCCGUUCGGCACCUUACGAGAAAUCAAAGUUUUUGGGUUCUGGGGGGAGUAUGGUCGCAAGG
rnacentral:rRNA from 1 species